rnacentral:rRNA from 1 species
UACGGAGGGGGCUAGCGUUGUUCGGAAUUACUGGGCGUAAAGCGCGCGUAGGCGGACCUGCAAGUCGGGGGUGAAAGCCCGAGGCUCAACCUCGGAACUGCCUUCGAUACUGCGGGUCUCGAGUCCGGGAGAGGUGAGUGGAAUUCCUAGUGUAGCGGUGAAAUGCGUAGAUAUUGGGAGGAACACCAGUGGCGAAGGCGGCUCACUGGACCGGUACUGACGCUGAUGCGCGAAAGCGUGGGGAGCAAACGGG